rnacentral:rRNA from 1 species
CAGUAGCCGCGGGAAUGCGAAGGGUGCAAGCGUUACUCGGAAUUACUGGGCGUAAAGCGUGCGUAGGUGGUGGUUUAAGUCCGUUGUGAAAGCCCUGGGCUCAACCUGGGAAUUGCAGUGGAUACUGGGUCACUAGAGUGUGGUAGAGGAUAGUGGAAUUUCCGGUGUAGCAGUGAAAUGCGUAGAGAUCGGAAGGAGCAUCUGUGGCGAAGGCGACUAUCUGGGACAACACUGACGCUGAGGCACGAAAGCGUGGGGAGCAAACAGGAUUAGAUACCCGCGUAGUCCCUGUCUCUUAUAC